rnacentral:rRNA from 1 species
AGUGAACGCUGGCGGUAGGCCUAACACAUGCAAGCCGAACGGCAGCACAGAGGAGCUUGCUCCUUGGGUGGCGAGUGGCGGACGGGUGAGGAAUACAUCGGAAUCUACUCUGUCGUGGGGGAUAACGUAGGGAAACUUACGCUAAUACCGCAUACGACCUACGGGUGAAAGCAGGGGAUCUUCGGACCUUGCGCGAUUGAAUGAGCCGAUGUCGGAUUAGCGAGUUGGCGGGGUAAAGGCCCACCAAGGAGACGAUCCGUAGCUGGUCUGAGAGGAGGAUCAGCCACACUGGAACUGAGACACGGUCCAGACUCCUACGGGAGGCAGCAGUGGGGAAUAUUGGACAAUGGGCGCAAGCCUGAUCCAGCCAUACCGCGUGGGUGAAGAAGGCCUUCGGGUUGUAAAGCCCUUUUGUUGGGAAAGAAAUCCAUCUGGUUAAUACCCGGGUGGGAUGACGGUACCCAAAGAAUAAGCACCGGCUAACUUCGUGCCAGCCGCCGCGGUAA